rnacentral:rRNA from 1 species
CCUACGGGAGGCAGCAGUGAGGAAUAUUGGUCAAUGGACGUAAGCCUGAACCAGCCAUGCCGCGUGCAGGAAGACGGCUCUAUGAGUUGUAAACCUCUUUUGUACGAGGGUAAACGCAGAUACGUGUAUCUGUCUGAAAGUAUCUUACGAAUAAGGAUCGGCUAACUCCGUGCCAGCAGCCGCGGUAAUACGGAGGAUUCAAGCGUUAUCCGGAUUUAUUGGGUUUAAAGGGUGCGUAGGCGGUCGUUUAAGUUAGAGGUGAAAUCCCGAGGCUCAACUUCAGAAUUGCCUGUGAAACUGUGCGGCUAGAGAGUAGUUGAGGUAGGCGGAAUGUAUGGUGUAGCGGUGAAAUGCAUAGAGAUCAUACAGAACACCGAUUGCGAAGGCAGCUUACCAAGCCACUACUGACGUUGAGGCACGAAAGCGUGGGGAGCGAACAGGAUUAGAUACCCGGGUAGUC